CUUAGCAAUUCUAAAGAGUGGAUUUGUUCCUAGCAAAAGAGAGGGUGAUGGGGGGGGAGGGGUAGGAGAGAGGUGCAAGCACAUCAGACAAGUUAAGUCAUUGGAAGUGAAGAGAACAUUAACAAGACAAAUGGUAUAAGAAUAGGAACCCCUUAUGGUUGCCAGGAUUUCUUUUGCUAUGUACUAUUCAAGGAAGAUAUUUCUCUGACCCAUCGGAAAAGCGAUGUCAUUUUUGGAUGGAUCUGAUAUUCCACCUGAGUCAACCUGUACAGGGCAUACAGAACUCUUCUCUGCAGAGGAGACAAAUUGCGACAAAACCACAGAAAUGGGGCUGAAUUAAUCAUACCAAUGGCAUAAGCAGCUAUAUGGUAAUAUCACCCCCACCACUACCACCACCAAGUAGCUGCCUCUCUCCCCAGCACAGCCACUACUCUCUGACCUCAGCUCCAUGCAACAAAGAGGAUGUGGAGAAUUGUGGAAGAGUCUAAGAACAGCAACGUAUUCCAACAUUCUUCUUGAAUUGUGGACACCAGAAUUGGACACAU